AUAACAGUGUAUCCUAUCCAGUAUGUGGAAGCAGAGAUGGGAUGGAUGGAAAUAAAGAAGCCAAAGCUGAAUUUUAACAGAAUGGAGAUUUUGCAGAGCUCAAGAUGCUGAGCAUGGAUGCAUCAAUACUGGAAGUGACCUCAUAUCAUGUCUAAUUUACAGUAUUUUUCAGCCAAUGAAUGGAAGUGAUGUCUG
rnacentral:lncRNA from 11 species